rnacentral:rRNA from 1 species
GGCUCUUGGGUUGUAAACCUCUUUUCUCAGGGAAUAAAAAAAUGAAGGUACCUGAGGAAUAAGCAUCGGCUAACUCCGUGCCAGCAGCCGCGGUAAUACGGAGGAUGCAAGCGUUAUCCGGAAUGAUUGGGCGUAAAGGGUCCGCAGGUGGCAUUGUAAGUCUGCUGUCAAAGAAUGAGGCUCAACCUCAUCAAGGCAGUGGAAACUACAAAGCUAGAGUGCGUUCGGGGCAGAAGGAAUUCCUGGUGUAGCGGUGAAAUGCGUAGAGAUCAGGAAGAACACCGGUGGCGAAAGCGUGCUACUAGGCCUGUACUGACGCUGAAGGGACGAAAGCUAGGGGGAGCGGAUGGGAAUUAAUACCCCAGUAGUCCCUACCCUAAACGAAUGGGAUACUAAGGCGUGGCUUUGUAUCGACCCGAGCCGUGCCGGAAGCUAACGCGUUAAAGUAUUCCCGGCCUGGGGAGUACGCACGCAGAUGUUAAACUCAAAGGAAUUGACGCGGGGCCCGCACAAGCAGGGGGAGUAUGUGAUAUAAUUCGAUGCAACGCGAAGAACCUUACCAAGGCUUGACAUGUCGCGAAUCUUCUUGAAAGGGAAGAGUGCCUUCGGGAGCGCGAACACAGGUGGUGCAUGGCUGUCGUCAGCUCGUGUCGUGAGAUGUUGGGUUAAGUCCCGCAACGAGCGCAACCCUCGUUUUUAGUUGCCAGCAUUAAGUUGGGCACUCUAGAGAGACUGCCGGUGACAAACCGGAGGAAGGUGGGGAUGACGUCAAGUCAGCAUGCCCCUUACGUCUUGGGCUACACACGUACUACAAUGCUACGGACAGAGGGCAGCUAAACAGCGAUGUCAAGCAAAUCCCGUAAACCGUAGCUCAGUUCAGAUCGCAGGCUGCAACUCGCCUGCGUGAAGGAGGAAUCGCUAGUAAUUGCAGGUCAGCAUACUGCAGUGAAUUCGUUCCCGGGCCUUGUACACACCGCCCGUCACACCAUGGAAGCUGGCAACGCCCGAAGUCAUUACU